rnacentral:rRNA from 1 species
CCUACGGGAGGCAGCAGUGAGGAAUAUUGGUCAAUGGACGAGAGUCUGAACCAGCCAAGUAGCGUGAAGGAUGACUGCCCUAUGGGUUGUAAACUUCUUUUAUAAAGGAAUAAAACGAGGCACGUGUGCCUUUUUGCAUGUACUUUAUGAAUAAGGAUCGGCUAACUCCGUGCCAGCAGCCGCGGUAAUACGGAGGAUCCGAGCGUUAUCCGGAUUUAUUGGGUUUAAAGGGAGCGUAGAUGGGUUGUUAAGUCAGGUGUGAAAGUUUGCGGCUCAACCGUAAAAUUGCAAUUGAUACUGGAAGUCUUGAGUACAGUUGAGGUAGGCGGAAUUCGUGGUGUAGCGGUGAAAUGCUUAGAUAUCACGAAGAACCCCGAUUGCGAAGGCAGCUUACUAAACUGUGACUGACAUUGAUGCUCGAAAGUGUGGGUAUCAAACAGGAUUAGAUACCCCUGUAGUC